AGGACGAACGCUGGCGGCGUGCUUAACACAUGCAAGUCGAGCGGAAAGGCCCUUCGGGGUACUCGAGCGGCGAACGGGUGAGUAACACGUGAGCAAUCUGCCCUUAGCUUCGGGAUAGCCCCGGGAAACCGGGAUUAAAUACCGAAUACGACCUCGGCCGACAUCGGCUUUGGUGGAAAGUUUUUCGGCUAGGGAUGAACUCGCGGCCUAUCAGCUUGUUGGUGGGGUAAUGGCCUACCAAGGCGACGACGGGUAGCCGGCCUGAGAGGGCGACCGGCCACACUGGGACUGAGACACGGCCCAGACUCCUACGGGAGGCAGCAGUGGGGAAUAUUGCGCAAUGGGCGAAAGCCUGACGCAGCGACGCCGCGUGGGGGAUGAAGGCCUUCGGGUUGUAAACCCCUUUCAGCAGGGACGAAGCGAGAGUGACGGUACCUGCAGAAGAAGCGCCGGCUAACUACGUGCCAGCAGCCGC
rnacentral:rRNA from 1 species